UGGGGAAUAUUGCACAAUGGGCGCAAGCCUGAUGCAGCCAUGCCGCGUGUAUGAAGAAGGCCUUCGGGUUGUAAAGUACUUUCAGCGGGGAGGAAGGGAGUAAAGUUAAUACCUUUGCUCAUUGACGUUACCCGCAGAAGAAGCACCGGCUAACUCCGUGCCAGCAGCCGCGGUAAUACGGAGGGUGCAAGCGUUAAUCGGAAUUACUGGGCGUAAAGCGCACGCAGGCGGUUUGUUAAGUCAGAUGUGAAAUCCCCGGGCUCAACCUGGGAACUGCAUCUGAUACUGGCAAGCAUGAGUCUCGUAGGGGGGGGUAGAAUUCCAGGUGAAGCGGUGAAAGGGGAAGAGAUCUGGAGGAAUACCGGUGGCGAAGGCGGCCCCCUGGACGAAGACUGACGCUAAGGUGCGAAAGCGGGGGGAGCAAACAGG
rnacentral:rRNA from 1 species